rnacentral:rRNA from 1 species
GACAAGGGAAGGGAACUAAGCCAUGCGAGUCAUUGUAGCAAUACAAGGCAGACGGCUCAGUAACGCGUAGUCAACCUACCCUAUGGACGGGAAUAACCUCGGGAAACUGAGAAUAAUGCCCGAUAGAACACUAUACCUGGAAUGGUUUGUGUUCCAAAUGAUUUAUCGCCGUAGGAUGGGACUGCGGCCUAUCAGUUUGUUGGUGAGGUAAUGGCCCACCAAGACUAUUACAGGUACGGGCUCUGAGAGGAGUAGCCCGGAGAUGGGUACUGAGACACGGACCCAGGCCCUAUGGGGCGCAGCAGGCGAGAAAACUUUGCAAUGUGCGAAAGCACGACAAGGUUAAUCCGAGUGGUUUGUGCUAAACGAACCUUUUGUCGGUCCUAGAAACACCGAUGAACAAGGGGUGGGCAAGUUCUGGUGUCAGCCGCCGCGGUAAAACCAGCACCUCAAGUGGUCAGGAUGAUUAUUGGGCCUAAAGCAUCCGUAGCCGGCUCUGUAAGUUUUCGGUUAAAUCUGUACGCUCAACGUACAGGCUGCCGGGAAUACUGCAGAGCUAGGGAGUGGGAGAGGUAGACGGUACUCGGUAGGAAGGGGUAAAAUCCUUUGAUCUAUUGAUGACCACCUGUGGCGAAGGCGGUCUACAGAACACGUCCGACGGUGAGGGAUGAAAGCUGGGGGAGCAAACCGGAUUAGAUACCCGGGUAGUCCCAGCUGUAAACUAUGCAAACUCAGUGAUGCAUUGGCUUGUGGCCAAUGCAGUGCUGCAGGGAAGCCGUUAAGUUUGCCGCCUGGGAAGUACGUACGCAAGUAUGAAACUUAAAGGAAUUGGCGGGGGAGCACCACAAGGGGUGAAGCCUGCGGUUCAAUUGGAUUCAACGCCGGG